UACGUAGGGGGCAAGCGUUGUCCGGAUUUAUUGGGCGUAAAGAGCGUGUAGGCGGCUUUACAGGUCCGUUGUGAAAACUCGAGGCUCAACCUCGAGACGCCGGUGGAAACCGUAAAGCUAGAGUCCGGAAGAGGAGAGUGGAAUUCCUGGUGUAGCGGUGAAAUGCGCAGAUAUCAGGAAGAACACCAGUGGCGAAGGCGGCUCACUGGCCCGGUACUGACGCUGAGGCACGAAAGCGUGGGGAGUAAACAGG
rnacentral:rRNA from 1 species